AUUGAACGCUGGCGGCAGGCCUAACACAUGCAAGUCGAAUGGUAACAGGAAACAGCUUGCUGUUUCGCUGACGAGUGGCGGACGGGUGAGUAAUGUCUGGGAAACUGCCUGAUGGAGGGGGAUAACUACUGGAAACGGUAGCUAAUACCACAUAACGUCGCAAGACCAAAGAGGGGGACCUUCGGGCCUCUUGCCAUCAGAUGUGCCCAGAUGGGAUUAGCUAGUAGGUGGGGUAACGGCUCACCUAGGCGACGAUCCCUAGCUGGUCUGAGAGGAUGACCAGCCACACUGGAACUGAGACACGGUCCAGACUCCUACGGGAGGCAGCAGUGGGGAAUAUUGCACAAUGGGCGCAAGCCUGAUGCAGCCAUGCCGCGUGUAUGAAGAAGGCCUUCGGGUUGUAAAGUACUUUCAGCGGGGAGGAAGGGAGUAAAGUUAAUACCUUUGCUCAUUGACGUUACCCGCAGAAGAAGCACCGGCUAACUCCGUG
rnacentral:rRNA from 1 species